rnacentral:rRNA from 1 species
CGACCCCAGGUCAGGCGGUGUUACCCGCUGAAUUUAAGCAUAUCAAUAAGCGGAGGG